rnacentral:tRNA from 1 species
GGGAAUAUAGUUUAAUUUGGAAAAACAUAUGAUUUGCAGUUAUACCUUAUUGGUUCGAGUCCAAUUAUUUCCA